rnacentral:lncRNA from 1 species
UUUUGCAGACAAAGGCUGGAGAUGCCAAGAAGAAGUAAGGGGGAAGUUGCUUGCUUGCCAUCUUCAUCUUGUUUGGCUUUGGUUUGUUAGGGUGGGUUCCUUGUGGCAAUGCUGAAUGUUUAACUAGAAGUAGAGAGGGUUUUGCCAGUUACCCAGUACGUUGAGUUUCUCGCUGUGCCUUGUGUUCAGUUUUGGGGUACCUUGUCAGACACUAGAAUAUAUACUUGGUUAUUAUUUUGAUUUAUAUUUUGUGUCUACUGAUGAGAAGUUGGAUGCAAGACACUGUCUGCUGCUCCCUCUAAGACUGUUCAUCUUUAAGGCUUUUUUUUUACAAAAUUUAUAUAAUGUACUGUGUAAGAAUUUUUCUCACUAACGACGUGUUUUUUAUUUAC